rnacentral:rRNA from 1 species
AGAGUGAACGCUGGCGGUAGGCCUAACACAUGCAAGUCGAACGGCAGCACAGUAGGAGCUUGCUCUUACGGGUGGCGAGUGGCGGACGGGUGAGGAAUACAUCGGAAUCUACCUUUUGGUGGGGGAUAACGUAGGGAAACUUACGCUAAUACCGCAUACGCCCUUCGGGGGAAAGCCGGGGACCAGCAAUGGCCUGGCGCUGAUAGAUGAGCCGAUGUCGGAUUAGCUAGUUGGUGAGGUAAUGGCUCACCAAGGCGACGAUCCGUAGCUGGUCUGAGAGGAUGAUCAGCC